UUAUACUUACAAAAGUCUCCGAAAAGUCCUUGGAGUUACGCAAUUUGGGGCCCGCAGACGCGCGUGGACACAAAAACACACGCUCCCGAGAUCCACCCUCCCCGGGCCACACUGUGGGGCUGCGUCCGGGGCACGGGCCAUGCCUGAACCUUCUUCCACCGCCGCGCCCCGGGCCCGCGCCCCGCCGGCCGCCCGCACUGGGUCCCGCGUCGCCCCCGCCACCACACCGAGCCGCCCAGUACCUCCUCCUCCUGAAGGCAGAGCUGGGGGUCCGUACGGAGGAACUUCAGAGGCUGGAAGCACGCUUGAAAAAGAAAGGGGGCCUGGGCUUUGCACCAGCUUCAGGAUUGCGUACUUGUUUCCUCAUCCGUGAAAUGGGAGCAGCUGAAUGUGUCUCCUCGAGUUUUCGAGGCUGAGCUCGAGCUCCUGGCCUCAAGUGAUCCUCCUGCUUUUGGCCUCCCAAACUGAUGGGAUUACAACGUGGAGCCACCGUGUUAAACUCUUAGAUUUGACUGCUACAAAGGUAUAAAUGUGGAACUCCAUAUAUCAGUGGGUUCUGCCCCACUUCUUCCUCCCAGGAAUUCUCCAUCCCAGCCUGCUGCUCCUGUCUUGCACCGGUAACAGUUUCCAACUACAGUAUUUGCUUAACUGUUUCUCCCCACCCCCACCAGACAUUCUUUAUACUUGGUUUAAGUGCUGCUGGGGAUAGGGCGGGGGUGGCUGUGGGAGUUGCAGAUAAGGACCCUCCCUUUAGGGAGUUUAAAGUGGUAUGGUGGCUCACACUUGGAAUCUCAGCACUUAAGGAGAUAGAGGAAAGAGGAUUGCUUGAGCCCAGGAGUUCAAGACCUGCCUGGGCAACAUAGUGAGACUCUGUUCUCCACAGAGGGGAAAAAAAGAAAAGACAAAAAAAUAAAGUGGUAUGGAGCCAAGAUACUCUCAGAAUCCUCUUUCCGAUUAUAGAAAGCAAGGAAAAUAUUUGCUUUAAGGGCAUUAUGAGGAGAAAAACAGUAGUGAUACUUGGAUUUACAUAUUGGAUUUAUCUUGGGGGUUUGGAGAUUUUGAAACAGGAAGAUUUCCAUAAGGAAAACAUGUUUUUUUAAUUGCUGUCAUAAUGUGAUUUCUCUCUAAGGGGAACAAACAUGUAUCCUGGAUGAAAAUAAACCAACUCUUGAAACUGCAACCCAAGACAUUCAGAAGAGAUAAGGCUACAGUGAAUGUGGAAACUUUGCACGUGUUUGGAUGUAUUGAUUGCCUUAACUGGCAGCUCUUUGCACUGCCAGCUUCCCUCAAUUACAUGAGGAACCACGAGGGGGCAAUGUCUUCCCGAGCAAUAAUAGCUGAGUGGUGGUCUUAGGACCCCGUGGUGGCCCAUGAUGCUAGCACUGUGUCUUUGGCCAUUCUUGCCUGUCAUGGAGCAUACUCCACAGAAGGGCAUGGUCUUCUUGGAUCCCGGCAUGGGCCCAACAAAAAUGACAAUGUAGUCAAUAGUUCCACUCAGACCUCACUUAGGAGCAGGUGAACUAUGUUGUGUGAUAUCAGGAUGCCCGGAGAACCUCUCCUAUCCCCACCCAGGGAAGCAUGGCUUAAUUCCAAAUAAAGAAUCUGAUUUCUUUGUCUUUAAGCCA
rnacentral:lncRNA from 1 species